AGAGUUUGAUCCUGGCUCAGGAUGAACGCUGGCGGCGUGCCUAAUACAUGCAAGUCGAACGAGGACCCUUUGUAUUCGUACUUAGGACUCCUAGUGGCGAACGGGUGAGUAACGCGUUGGUGACCUGCCCCGAAGAGGGGGAUAACAGCUCGAAAGGGCUGCUAAUACCCCAUGUGGUCACGGAGAUUAGAUGCUUUGUGACUAAAUGGAGCAAUCCGCUUCGGGAGGGACCUGCGUCCCAUCAGCUAGUUGGUAGGGUAAUGGCCUACCAAGGCGAUGACGGGUAGGGGGCCUGAGAGGGUGGCCCCCCCACACUGGCACUGAAACACGGGCCAGACACCUACGGGUGGCAGCAGUAGGGAAUAUUGCACAAUGGGCGAAAGCCUGAUGCAGCAACGCCGCGUGCACGAUGAAGGCUCUAGGGUUGUAAAGUGCUUUUCUGGAGGAAGAGAAUGGACGGUACUCCAGGAAUAAGGAUCGGCUAACUACGUGCCAGCAGCCGCGGUAACACGUAGGAUUCAAGCGUUAUCCGAAUUUACUGGGCGUAAAGCGCGCGUAGGCGGUUCGGUAAGUUGGACGUGAAAGCUCCUGGCUCAACUGGGAGAGGUCGUUCAAAACUUCCGGACUAGAGGACGGUAGAGGGAGGUGGAAUUCCCGGUGUAGUGGUGAAAUGCGUAGAUAUCGGGAGGAACACCAGUGGCGAAGGCGGCCUCCUGGGCCGUUCCUGACGCUCAGACGCGAAAGCUAGGGGAGCAAACGGGAUUAGAUACCCCGGUAGUCCUAGCUGUAAACGAUAUGAACUUGGCGUUGGUGGGGUAAAAUCCAUCAGUGCCGAAGCUAACGCGAUAAGUUCACCGCCUGGGGACUACGGUCGCAAGGCUAAAACUCAAAGGAAUUGGCGGGGACCCGCACAAGCAGCGGAGCGUGUGGUUUAAUUCGAUACUACACGAAGAACCUUACCAGGGCUUGACAUAUUGGUGGUAGGGAUCCGAAAGGUGACCGACCCUUCGGGGAGCCAUUACAGGUGCUGCAUGGCUGUCGUCAGCUCGUGUCGUGAGAUGUUGGGUUAAGUCCCGCGACGAGCGCAACCCUUGUCCUUAGUUGCCAUCAGGUAAUGCUGGGAACUCUGAGGAGACUGCUGGUGACAAACCGGAGGAAGGCGGGGACGACGUCAAGUCAUCAUGGCCCUUACGUCCCGGGCUACACACGUGCUACAAUGGUCGGUACAGAGGGCUGCAAUGCCGCGAGGUGGAGCGAAUCCC
rnacentral:rRNA from 1 species